rnacentral:rRNA from 1 species
AUUGAACGCUGGCGGAAUGCUUUACACAUGCAAGUCGAACGGCAGCACGGGGGCAGCCCUGGUGGCGAGUGGCGAACGGGUGAGUAAUACAUCGGAACGUGCCCGGUCGUGGGGGAUAACGUAGCGAAAGUUACGCUAAUACAGCAUACGAUCUGAGGAUGAAAGCGGGGGACCUUCGGGCCUCGCGCGAUCGGAGCGGCCGAUGUCAGAUUAGGUAGUUGGUGGGGUAAAGGCCUACCAAGCCGACGAUCUGUAGCUGGUCUGAGAGGACGACCGGCCACACUGGGACUGAGACACGGCCCAGACUCCUACGGGAGGCAGCAGUGGGGAAUUUUGGACAAUGGGCGCAAGCCUGAUCCAGCCAUGCCGCGUGCAGGACGAAGGCCUUCGGGUUGUAAACUGCUUUUGUACGGAACGAAAAGGCUCUGGCUAAUACCUGGGGCUCAUGACGGUACCGUAAGAAUAAGCACCGGCUAACUACGUG